rnacentral:rRNA from 1 species
UGGGGAAUAUUGCACAAUGGGCGCAAGCCUGAUGCAGCCAUGCCGCGUGUAUGAAGAAGGCCUUCGGGUUGUAAAGUACUUUCAGCGAGGAGGAAGGUGUUGUGGUUAAUAACCGCAGCAAUUGACGUUACUCGCAGAAGAAGCACCGGCUAACCCGUCGCCAGCAGCCGCGGUAAUACGGAGGGUGCAAGCGUUAAUCGGAAUUACUGGGCGUAAAGCGCACGCAGGCGGUCUGUCAAGUCGGAUGUGAAAUCCCCGGGCUCAACCUGGGAACUGCAUCCGAAACUGGCAGGCUAGAGUCUUGUAGA